UUUAUAUGGGCCAUAAGAGGUCCAACUUCUUUCGUAAUACCAGAAAGGCCCAUUAAAGCGAACUGUUAAAUCUUUCGUUUUAACCCCAUAAUGUUUUUAAUUUGAUCAAUUGGCUCCCUUCUUCUCCGCCGGCGUCCUUCAAUUUCCUCCGGCUUCUAAACCAAAAACACCUUCCGUCUCCCGCGUCCGUUUUACUCCGGUUUGUAGCAAUGGCGGACACCGAAAUGGAAGAGCAAGAUGUUGCUUCUGAGGAUAAGACUCUUACUUUGGACUCUGAUCUUCAUUUGCCUGAUGCUCCCAUUGCUGAUGUUGAUCAGUCUGAGAAGAAGAUUAGCAGUGAUGGUGGCCAAGAGGAAUCCUCAUCAACUCCUCAAGUUGCUGUUGAGAGUGUUAAGAAGUGGAAGACUUGGUUGCUCACUGACUCUGAGGUUGAUGAAGCAGGGAGACCAGAGGAUCAACAGGCGUUUAUUAAAGAAGUUGAGGCUUAUAACAAGGAGAAUUUCUUGGAUUUUAAAGCUCCCAAGUUUUAUGGACAGCCCUUAAACUGUCUCAAGCUAUGGCGAGCCGUCAUCAAGUUAGGUGGCUAUGACGUGGUCACUGCGUCUAAGCUAUGGCGGCAAGUUGGAGAAUCCUUCAAUCCUCCCAAGACAUGCACUACAGUCUCCUGGACAUUCCGCAUUUUCUAUGAGAAGUCACUCUUGGAGUAUGAAAAGCAUUUAAGGCAAAAUGGUGAGCUUAACCUUCCUGGUUUACCUGUUCUUCCACCUGCUGGCCUUGAAAAAGAGGCUAUCAGCCACCAAGGCUCUGGGUCAGGCAGGGCACGAAGAGAUGCUGCAGCUCGUGCUAUGCAAGGUUGGCAUUCUCAGCGCCUUCUUGAAUCUGGAGAUGUUACUGAGCCUAUUGUUAAGGAUAAAGGCUUGAGUUCUACCCCAAAGCAAAAGAACCUCAAAAACAUUGGGGUGCAUAAACAAAAAACACCAAGCGGCAUGGACCUUGUUUUAUCACAUGAAACAGACAAACAGUCAAUCGCCGAGGUUAUAGAUGUUGGACCACCUGCAGACUGGGUGAAGAUAACUGUCAGAGAAACUGUGAGUACCUCAGCCUCACAUAUAAAGACUGCUUUGAGAUAUUUGCACUGAUACCUGGACUUCUUCGUGAAGAGGUUCGAGUUCAGUCAGACCCUGCAGGGCGGCUGGUUAUAGCAGGCCAGCCUGAACAACUUGACAAUCCUUGGGGAAUCACACCCUUCAAAAAGGUUGUGAAUUUUCCAGCAAGAAUCGAUCCGCUGCACACAUCAGCGGUCGUGAGCCUGCACGGUCGACUGUUCGUGCGUGUCCCAUUUGAGCAGUGAAAGGAAUCUCAUCUCAAAAGUGAUGAGCUCGUUCUUUUUCUCUAUGUUUCUUCAGUGAUUUCGACGACCUCUAUCUUUCUUUAGAGAUUCGUUUGUAUCAGAAGGAACUAAAAACGUUAGCAAAUGUGAUAAUGUUACUGUUAACUUGAGUUCAGAAGAUUGAAGUAGAAAUGCGAACAAAACAUUGAUGUAUUGUCUUCCAUUAAAGUUAGUAGGAAUGUUAUGGUUUUCUAAGCAUGUA